rnacentral:lncRNA from 1 species
CCGGGAAGCCGCGCUCACGCCUUCCCCGCCCCAACUCCGCCCGGGCCGCCGGCGGGAAGACGCUGCGGCGGCCGCGGCGACAGUUACGGGGACCGGCGCGCGGCGGGCUCCGGGGUGCAAGCGGGGGCGGCACAGGCAAAGUCGGAGGGGGAGCCCUGCCGCCCCGGCGCUCCUCGGCCGGGAGGAGCCGGGGGAGAGCCGAGCAGGAGCGGAGCAAGGACAGGAGGAAGCGGUGCAAGGAAAGACUGCGGGCGCCAGCGGCGAGACCCGGGGUGCGCGGGCUCGGGACCAGCCACCAGCUCGGGCCGCCGCCACCGUCCUGCCCCUCCCCUCCCCCGGAGCCUGACUUCACUCCGCCGCCGGCGCGAGCCGGGCGUAAUUCACACUUUGCAGCCGCGGACCGUGCGCCAACCACCGCCGCCGCCACCGUGACGUCACGACGCCGCGCCGCAGGCCUCGCGCCUCCGCAGCGCCCAGGGAGACGGGCUAGCGGCGGAGGGGGCAGCUGCCUUCCUCCUGGUCUGCCCUCUAAGCCGGGUCCCUUCCUCUCCUGCCGCUCGCCACCCGUCCUCUACCGCCCCCACGCCCUGUAUCAGCGCGCAGCCCCCCCCCCCAGCUGUCCCCUAUCUGCCCUCCACCCAGGGCGCGUGCGCACGAGGCCCCACCGCUUGGGGACAUUCUCCUUCUAGCUAAACUCUUGCUGUCGUGCGCGCCGAGGGUGUGGAGUGGGGAUCGGCCUGCGCUACAGGCGAGAUUCGGGCCUCCUGACCCCAGAGGCCCAAAGCACGCGGCGCACUCGCGGCGCCCAGCCGUAACCGCGGGGUCACCGCUGUGCUUCCCUCCUUCAAUUCCCAUUCUUGGGCUUCGCUGGGGUCCGCUGCGGCAGUGACGUCAGCGGGCCGCGCGGGCACAGUCCGCCCCGCUACGUCACCGCCAGUCCCUUGGCGGGCCCGGCUGGGGCUCCCCGGGCAGGUGCGGGCCCCAGGGCUGUCCUGGGCCAAGGGGAGGACAGGGGAACCGAGAAGGCGGGAGUGGGG